rnacentral:rRNA from 1 species
ACGGGUAGCCGGCCUGAGAGGGCGACCGGCCACAUUGGGACUGAGAUACGGCCCAGACUCCUACGGGAGGCAGCAGUGGGGAAUAUUGCACAAUGGGCGGAAGCCUGAUGCAGCAACGCCGCGUGCGGGAUGACGGCCUUCGGGUUGUAAACCGCUUUCAGCAGGGGCGAAGCUUUUGUGACGGUACCUGCAGAAGAAGCACCGGCUAACUACGUGCCAGCAGCCGCGGUGAUACGUAGGGUGCGAGCGUUGUCCGGAUUUAUUGGGCGUAAAGAGCUCGUAGGUGGUUGAUUGCGUCGGAAGUGAAAACUUGGGGCUUAACCCUGAGCGUGCUUUCGAUACGGGUUGACUUGAGGAAGGUAGGGGAGAAUGGAAUUCCUGGUGGAGCGGUGGAAUGCGCAGAUAUCAGGAGGAACACCAGUGGCGAAGGCGGUUCUCUGGACCUUUCCUGACGCUGAGGAGCGAAAGCGUGGGGAGCGAACAGGCUUAGAUACCCUGGUAGUCCACGCUGUAAACGGUGGGUACUAGGUGUGGGGUCCAUUCCACGGAUUCCGUGCCGUAGCUAACGCAUUAAGUACCCCGCCUGGGGAGUACGGCCGCAAGGCUAAAACUCAAAGGAAUUGACGGGGCCCCGCACAAGCGGCGGAGCAUGCGGAUUAAUUCGAUGCAACGCGAAGAACCUUACCUGGGUUUGACAUGGACUGGGAGUGCUCAGAGAUGGGUAUGCCUCCUUGUGGGGCUGGUUCACAGGUGGUGCAUGGCUGUCGUCAGCUCGUGUCGUGAGAUGUUGGGUUAAGUCCCGCAACGAGCGCAACCCUCGUUCACUGUUGCCAGCACGUUAUGGUGGGGACUCAGUGGAGACCGCCGGGGUCAACUCGGAGGAAGGUGGGGAUGACGUCAAGUCAUCAUGCCCCUUAUGUCCAGGGCUUCACGCAUGCUACAAUGGCCGGUACAAAGAGUUGCGAGCCUGUGAGGGUGAGCGAAUCUCGGAAAGCCGGUCUCAGUUCGGAUUGGGGUCUGCAACUCGACCCCAUGAAGUCGGAGUCGCUAGUAAUCGCAGAUCAGCAACGCUGCGGUGAAUACGUUCCCGGGGCUUGUACACACCGCCCGUCAAGUCAUGAAAGUCGGUAACACCCGAAGCCGGUGGCCUAACCUGUGUGGGGGAGCCGUCGAAGGUGGGACUGGUAAUUAGGACUAAGUCGUAACAAGGUAGCCGUACCGGAAGGUGCGGCUGGAUCACCUCCUUU